AGUGCGUUCGUUUAUUCGUUCGUUCGCUUACUCGCUCGGUAAAAAGGAUUAAGAUCUCUGUCCUUCACGAGAUGAGACAGAAAAAGGAGGAGCUAAAGUGGGGAAGAGAAGACGAAAAGAGAGAUCGAGUUAGAGAAGAAGUAUAUACGAGCAUCACUUCAUCGUGAUCACUCGCGUCGCGAGGUCGGCAGAGUGUGCACGUAUUCGUAUUUCUCGUUAUUAUUUCAUUCUUAUUACGGCUUCUUUGGCCGACAGCUCGUGGGUGUGUACAUCGGUGUCUCUCUCUUUUUCCACGAUUUUCAUUAACUAGACGAACAGAAAGAAAUAGAAAAGAGAAGGAUAGAAUAAAAGAGAAGAGAAACGCAAAGAGUUUUACACAAAUUUUCUGCGAUCAUGGCCGGAUAUGCUUGGGUAACAUUGGCCACAAACGAUGCCUAUUCUUUGGGAGCAUUGGUAUUGGCGCAUUCUUUGCGCCGAGUUGACACCAAAUACGAGCUAGCAGUUUUAGUCACUCCAGGAGUAACGAGUAUGAUGAGAGAAAAAUUGGCAGCGGUAUUCAAUUUGGUACAGGAAGUAAACGUUCUCGAUUCGAAAGACGAAGCUAAUCUGGCACUUUUGGCAAGGCCAGAGUUGGGUAUCACAUUUACGAAAUUACAUUGUUGGAGGCUAACUCAAUACGAAAAAUGCGUGUUUGUAGACGCUGAUACACUUGUCGUAAGAAACUGUGACGAGUUAUUCGAACGUGAAGAAUUAUCAGCCGCUCACGACAUUGGCUGGCCAGAUUGUUUUAAUUCUGGUGUAUUCGUGUUUAGACCGUCUCAACAAACGUUCGCUUCUAUUACUGCCUUUGCAGCAGCUAAGGGUUCUUUUGAUGGGGGCGAUCAAGGCUUAUUAAAUAUGUACUUUAAUGAUUGGGCACGAAAGGACAUAUCGAAACAUUUACCAUUCAUCUACAAUAUGUGCUCUACGGCAGCUUAUUCUUAUCUUCCCGCUUUUAAACAAUUUGGCGAGGAUGUUAGAAUAAUACACUUCAUUGGAAUCACAAAACCAUGGUUACAGUAUUUUGAUACUUUGACUGGUAUCGUACAACCACCAUCAGGCAUGAACCAUUUGCAACCAUUGCUGCAAUUGUGGUGGAAUAUCUUUUGCGACAAAGUGCAUCCGCAGUUAUCACCUGUUAUGCAAAGCAAUGACCAAUUGAAUUCAAGUAAGAUUAAUGAAGAGGCUGGUCUUGCUGGUGCAUUAGCUCAAAUGACAUUGGGUGAACCAAGAAGUGCAGAACAAAUUGCUUUAGAAGAACACAUGAGGAAGCAAAGUUGGGAACAAGGUCAAAUUGAUUAUAUGGGUCGCGACAGUUUUGAUAAUAUAUGGAAAAAGAUUUGUGAAACACUUUCUUCAGCAUCAAGGCAAUCUUCUCCGCCUAAAACAACUACUCAAGAUGAAGUAAAAACUGAUAAAACAGAAGAAACAAAUAUAACUAAAAAAGAAAUCGAUUCUGUGCCUAAGUCUGAAGACAGCGUUAAUAUUAAAAGUCCUGCAAAAGGAACAGAGGACAGCAACUAACAGACCAUGGCACCAUAGCAUUGCUGCGUCUUGUUUUGUCGUUAUGCUUUACUGGGCUGAAACAACUAGUGAUCUGAGCGUAAAACAAUCUUUGAUUUGUAAUAUUCCUAAGGAUGAUAUUUCACAAAAAGAAUCUAUUGAUAC
rnacentral:misc_RNA from 1 species